rnacentral:misc_RNA from 1 species
GAUGAAGAACGUAGUGAAAUGCGAUACUUGGUGUGAAUUGCAGAAUCCCGUGAACCAUCGAGUCUUUGAACGCAAGUUGCGCCCGAAGCCAUUAGGCCGAGGGCACGCCUGCCUGGGUGUCACACGUCGUUGCCCCCCCAUCUACUCCUUCGGGAUUGCGGGGGGCGGAUGAUGGCCUCCCGUGCGCCUCGUCGCGCGGUUGGCAUAAAUGCCAAGUCCUCGGCGACGCACGCCACGACAAUCGGUGGUUGCGAAACCUCGGUUGCCCGUCGUGUGCGGUCGUCGCGCAUCGAGGGCUCGAAAAAAUUGCCGGGCUCCGGCUCGGCUUUCAACGCGACCCCAGGUCAGGCGGGGUUACCCGCUGAAUUUAAGCAUAUCAAUAGCGGAGGA